GACGAACGCUGGCGGCGUGCUUAACACAUGCAAGUCGAACGGUGAAGGGACUGGUUUUGCUGGUCCUGGAUGAGUGGCGAACGGGUGAGUAACACGUGAGUAACCUGCCCCCUUCUUCUGGAUAACCGCAUGAAAGUGUGGCUAAUACGGGAUAUUCUGGGUCUGUCGCAUGGUGGGCCUGGGAAAGAUUGCGCCUUUUUUGGUGUUUUUGGUGGGGGAUGGGCUCGCGGCCUAUCAGCUUGUUGGUGGGGUGAUGGCCUACCAAGGCGGUGACGGGUAGCCGGCCUGAGAGGGUGGACGGUCACACUGGGACUGAGACACGGCCCAGACUCCUACGGGAGGCAGCAGUGGGGAAUAUUGCACAAUGGGCGCAAGCCUGAUGCAGCGACGCCGCGUGAGGGAUGGAGGCCUUCGGGUUGUGAACCUCUUUUGCCAGUGAAGCAGGCCUGCCUCUUUUUGUGGGUGGGUUGACGGUAGCUGGAUAAGAAGCGCCGGCUAACUACGUG
rnacentral:rRNA from 1 species